UACGGGGGGAGCAAGCGUUGUUCGGAUUUACUGGGCGUAAAGGGCGCGUAGGCGGCCUCUGCAAGUCGACUGUGAAAUCUCCGGGCUUAACCCGGAAAGGUCAGCCGAUACUGCAGGGCUAGAGUGCAGAAGGGGCAACUGGAAUUCUCGGUGUAGCGGUGAAAUGCGUAGAUAUCGAGAGGAACACCUGCGGCGAAGGCGGGUUGCUGGGCUGACACUGACGCUGACAGCGCGAAAGCUAGGGGAGCAAACAGG
rnacentral:rRNA from 1 species